GCUCACGAGUUCAAAAUCCAAAUGAUCUCUCACAUGUAGAUAAUGUUACCAAAAUGUACAAGAAGGCAAAGUCAAAUUUAGAAGAAUUGCACAAGCUGGGAGCAUUCUUAUUACAUGGAGUUGAUGCAACCAAAAUGAAGCUUCAUCCAGAUUUAAAAAUGCGAAGGUUUGAUCGAGUCAUAUUCAACUUUCCUCAUGCUGGCUUUCAUGGGAGGGAAGAUAGCUCGUCGCUGAUUAAGAUGCAUAAAGCCCUUGUGCAUGGAUUCUUCAACAAUGCAAGUCGCAUGCUUCGAGCCAAUGGUGAAAUACAUAUCAGUCAUAAAACUACAAAACCUUUU
rnacentral:sRNA from 1 species